rnacentral:rRNA from 1 species
UACGUAGGGUGCGAGCGUUAAUCGGAAUUACUGGGCGUAAAGCGUGCGCAGGCGGUUCGUUGUGUCGGUGGUGAAAGCCCCGGGCUUAACCUGGGAAUGGCCAUGGAAACUGGCGAACUGGAGUGUGGCAGAGGGGGGUGGAAUUCCGCGUGUAGCAGUGAAAUGCGUAGAGAUGCGGAGGAACACCGAUGGCGAAGGCAGCCCCCUGGGCUAGCACUGACACUGAGGCACGAAAGCGUGGGGAGCAAACCGG